GUAAGUUGCGCUCGAGGCUAAUAGUCUAAGGGCACGUCAAGCUAGGUGUCAUG
rnacentral:rRNA from 1 species